UUUAAUAUAAAAUUAUAAUACCUGCUCAAUGAUAUAUUUUAAUAGCCGCAUAAGUGCUAAGGUAGCAUAGUAAUUAGUUUUUUAAUUGAAAAAUAGAAUGAAUGGUUUCAUAAAAUUAUAAUUUUUUAAAUUAAUUUUAUGAAAUUAAAAUUUAAAUGAAAAUUUUUAAAUAAAUUUUUUAGACGAGAAGACCCUAUGAAACUAAAAAUUUUUUAUUUUAUAUAAAUAAUUUUAAAAAUUUAUUUUUUGGGGAAAAAUUUAAUUACUUUAUUAAAAUUGAAUUAUUUUUUAAAAUUUAUCCUUUAGGAAAAAUUAAUUAGUUCCUCUAGGGAUAACAGCAUAAUAUUUAUAAAAGAUCAUAUUAGAUUAAAUGUUUGUGACCUCGAUGUUGAAUUAAAUUUAUAUAUAUGUGUAGCAAUUUAUAUAUAAUAGUCUGUUCGACUAAUUUUAU
rnacentral:rRNA from 1 species